GCUGGCACGAAAUCCUGCACCCAGGGAGUGGAGGGGAGGAGGAGAGAGCAGCAGAGUCCCACUCAGAGGAAUUGGAACGUGGAGAUGUCGGCGCAGUUGACACGCCGCAUAUUUCCAUUGGAACCUCCAAGGGUGAAGUUGGGAUUAACCGGUAGCUGGCUCGGCAAAGCGAAAGUAAAGCGCUGUCCGUUGGCAAAGUCAUCCUUAUCCACCGCUGUGAC